GCAAUGAUGAAUAUCUGGUUUUGAUCAGCAAUGACAUGACGGAUUCCUCUAAGAAGUUCUGAGCUC